GCGCCUGAUCAAGGACAGCAAGCUCAAA
rnacentral:sRNA from 1 species